CAGUCGCCACGGGAAUACAGAGGGUGCGAGCGUUAAUCGGAUUUACUGGGCGUAAAGCGUGCGUAGGCGGCUUUUUAAGUCGGAUGUGAAAUCUCUGAGCUUAACUUAGGAAUUGCAUUCGAUACUGGGAAGCUAGAGUAUGGGAGAGGAUGGUAGAAUUCCAGGUGUAGCGGUGAAAUGCGUAGAGAUCUGGAGGAAUACCGAUGGCGAAGGCAGCCAUCUGGCCUAAUACUGACGCUGAGGUACGAAAGCAUGGGGAGCAAACAGGAUUAGAUACCCCAGUAGUCCCUGUCUCUUAUAC
rnacentral:rRNA from 1 species